rnacentral:rRNA from 1 species
CCCUUAGAUGUUCUGGGCCGCACGCGCGCUACACUGACGAAGUCAGCGAGCAUGUCCUACGCCGACAGGUGCGGGGAAUCUUGUCAAACUUCGUCGUGAUGGGGAUUGAUUAUUGAAAUUCUUGAUCAUCAACGAGGAAUUCCUAGUAAGCGCAAGUCAGCAGCUUGCGUUGAUUACGUCCCUGCCCUUUGUACACACCGCCCGUCGCUACUACCGAUUGAGCGAUCCGGUGAAUGUUUUGGACUGGCGUCAGAAGCGGUUCGCUCCUGACACUACGAAAUUUUGUAAACCUUAUCGCUUAGAGGAAGGAAAAGUCGUAACA